UCGUAACAAGGUUUCCGUAGGUGAACCCGCGGAAGGAUCAUUAAUGAAACUUCAAAGUCGGCUUGUCAUCUGUGCUGGUGGAGACACAUGUGCACGUUGCAAGUCGCAAAUCCCACACACCUGUGCACCUAUGACUCUGAGUACCGCUUUGCAUGGGCCCCUCAAAGGCCCUGGUACUCGAGUACUUUUACACACUCUGGAUGUAAUGGAAUGUCUAUUGUACAAUGUACAACUAAAACAACUUUCAACAACGGAUCUCUUGGCUCUCGCAUCGAUGAAGAACGCAGCGAAAUGCGAUAAGUAAUGUGAAUUGCAGAAUUCAGUGAAUCAUCGAAUCUUUGAACGCACCUUGCACCCUUUGGUAUUCCGAAGGGUACACCCGUUUGAGUGUCAUUGUAAUCUCACCCCUUUGACUUUUUUGUUGAUCGGUGUGGACUUGGAUGUUGCUGUGUAACAAACGGCUCGUCUGAAAUGCCUGAGUGUACCCUGCUUUGCGGCGUAUUUGGUGUGAUAAAUCUUCACCAGAGUUGACUUUUUCAAGUCGCGCUUGUACCUGUGGGCUCUAUGCUUCCAACCGUCCUGACAAGACAAUCUUUGACAAUUUGACCUCAAAUCGGGUGGG
rnacentral:rRNA from 1 species